rnacentral:rRNA from 1 species
UACGUAGGGGGCAAGCGUUGUCCGGAUUCAUUGGGCGUAAAGAGCGUGUAGGCGGCCAGGUAGGUCGGUUGUGAAAACUGGAGGCUAACCUUCAGAGGUCGACCGAAACCAUCUGGCUAGAGUCCGGGAGAGGAGAGUGGAAUUCCUGGUGUAGCGGUGAAAUGCGCAGAUAUCAGGAAGAACACCCGUGGCGAAAGCGGCUCUCUGGAACGGUACUGACGCUGAGACGCGAAAGCGUGGGGAGCGAACAGG